AACGAACGCUGGCGGCAUGCCUAACACAUGCAAGUCGAACGAGACCUUCGGGUCUAGUGGCGCACGGGUGCGUAACGCGUGGGAACCUGCCCUUAGGUUCGGAAUAACUCCCCGAAAGGGGUGCUAAUACCGGAUAAUGUCUUCGGACCAAAGAUUUAUCGCCUUUGGAUGGGCCCGCGUUGGAUUAGCUAGUUGGUAGGGUAAAAGACUACCAAGGCGACGAUCCAUAGCUGGUCUGAGAGGAUGAUCAGCCACACUGGGACUGAGACACGGCCCAGACUCCUACGGGAGGAAGCAGUGGGGAAUAUUGGACAAUGGGCGGAAGGCUGAUCCAGAAAGGCCGAGUGAGUGAUGAAGGCCUUAGGGUUGUAAAGCUCUUUUACACGGGAUGAUAAUGACAGGACCGGGAGAAUAAGCGACGGCUAACUCCGUG
rnacentral:rRNA from 1 species